rnacentral:rRNA from 1 species
UUCCGUAGGGUGAACCUGCGGAGGGAUCAUUACACAAAUAUGAAGGCGGGCUGGAAUCUCUCGGGGUUACAGCCUUGCUGAAUUAUUCACCCUUGUCUUUUGCGUACUUCUUGUUUCCUUGGUGGGUUCGCCCACCACUAGGACAAACAUAAACCUUUUGUAAUUGCAAUCAGCGUCAGUAACAAAUUAAUAAUUACAACUUUCAACAACGGAUCUCUUGGUUCUGGCAUCGAUGAAGAACGCAGCGAAAUGCGAUAAGUAGUGUGAAUUGCAGAAUUCAGUGAAUCAUCGAAUCUUUGAACGCACAUUGCGCCCUUUGGUAUUCCAAAGGGCAUGCCUGUUCGAGCGUCAUUUGUACCCUCAAGCUUUGCUUGGUGUUGGGCGUCUUGUCUCUAGCUUUGCUGGAGACUCGCCUUAAAGUAAUUGGCAGCCGGCCUACUGGUUUCGGAGCGCAGCACAAGUCGCACUCUCUAUCAGCAAAGGUCUAGCAUCCAUUAAGCCUUUUUUCAACUUUUGACCUCGGAUCAGGUAGGGAUACCCGCUGAACUUAAGCAUAUCAAUAANCGGAGGAA